GUAGGAGGCAAACGUUAUCCGGAUUUACUGGGCGUAAAGCGCGUGUAGGUGGUACUGUAAGUAGGGCGUGAAAGCUCCUGGCUCAACUGGGAGAGGCCGUUCUAAACUGCAGCACUCGAGUUUGGUAGAGGAAGAUGGAAUUCCAGGUGUAGCGGUAAAAUGCGCAGAUAUCUGGAGGAACACCAGUGGCGAAAGCGGUCUUCUAGACCAAUACUGACACUCAGACGCGAAAGCUAGGGUAGCAAACGGGAUUAGAGACCCCGGUAGUCCUAGCCCUAAACGAUGUAGACUAGGCGUUGGUGGCUUAAUCGCCAUCAGUGUCCAAGCUAACGCGAUAAGUCUACCGCCUGGGGACUACGGCCGCAAGGUUAAAACUCAAAGGAAUUGACGGGUCCCCGCACAAGCAGCGGAGCGUGUGGUUUAAUUCGUUGCUACACGAAGAACCUUACCUGGGUUUGACAUAGCAGUGGUAGGGAAGCGAAAGCGGACCGACCCUUCGGGGAGCUGUUACAGGUGUUGCAUGGCUGUCGUCAGCUCGUGUCGUGAGAUGUUCGGUUAAGUCCGCUAACGAGCGCAACCCGCGUGGUGUGUUACAAGUGUCACACCAUACUGCCGAUAUUAAGUCGGAGGAAGGUGCGGAUGACGUCAAGUCAGCAUGACCUUUAUAUCCAGGGCUACACACACGCUACAAUGGUAGGUACAACAGGUUGCCAAGCCGCGGGGCGGAGCCAAUCCUCUAAAGCCUACCUCAGUUCAGAUUGCAGGCUGCAACUCGCCUGCAUGAAGUUGGAGUUGCUAGUAACCGUAGGUCAGCUAUACUGCGGUGAAUACGUUCCCGGGGAUU
rnacentral:rRNA from 1 species